rnacentral:rRNA from 1 species
UACGUAGGGGGCAAGCGUUGUCCGGAUUUAUUGGGCGUAAAGAGCGUGUAGGCGGCCAGGUAGGUCUGCUGUGAAAACUCGAGGCUUAACCUCGAGCUGUCGGCGGAAACCAUCUGGCUAGAGUCCGGAAGAGGAGAAUGGAAUUCCCGGUGUAGCGGUGAAAUGCGUAGAUAUCGUAAGGAAGACCAGUGGCGAAGGCGAGUCUCUGGACAGUUACUGACACUGAGGCACGAAGGCCAGGGGAGCAAACGGG